rnacentral:rRNA from 1 species
GACGAACGCUGGCGGCGUGCUUAACACAUGCAAGUCGAACGGAAAGGCCCUGCUUUUGUGGGGUGCUCGAGUGGCGAACGGGUGAGUAACACGUGAGUAACCUGCCCUUGACUUUGGGAUAACUUCAGGAAACUGGGGCUAAUACCGGAUAGGAGCUCCUGCUGCAUGGUGGGGGUUGGAAAGUUUCGGCGGUUGGGGAUGGACUCGCGGCUUAUCAGCUUGUUGGUGGGGUAGUGGCUUACCAAGGCUUUGACGGGUAGCCGGCCUGAGAGGGUGACCGGCAACAUUGGGACUGAGAGACGGCCCAGACUCCUACGGGAGGCAGCAGUGGGGAAUAUUGCACAAUGGGCGGACGCCUGAUGCAGCAACGCCGCGUGCGGGAUGACGGCCUUCGGGUUGUAAACCGCGUUCGCCUGUGACGAAGCGUGAGUGACGGUAAUGGGUAAAGAAGCACCGGCUAACUACGUG